rnacentral:rRNA from 1 species
UGGGGAAUAUUGCACAAUGGGGGAAACCCUGCUGCAGCGACGCCGCGUGUGCGAAGAAGGUUUUCGAAUCGUAAAGCUCUGUCCUAUGGGAAGAUAAUGAUGGUACCAUAGGAGGAAGCCCCUGCUAACUACGUGCCAGUAGCCGCGGUCAAACGUAGGGGGCAAGCGUUGUCCGGAAUCACUGGGGGUAAAGGGUUCGCAGGCGGAAAUGCAAGUCAGUUGUGAAAGGCAGAGGCUCAACCUCUGUAAGCAAUUGAAACUGUAAUGCUUGAGGGGUGGAGAGGCAAAUGGAAUGCCGAGUGUGGCAGUGAAAUGCGUAGAUAUGAGGAAGAAUACCGGUGGCAAAGGCGACUUGCUGGACACAAACUGACGCUGAGGAACGAAAGCGUGGGUAGCAGACAGG